CACGUAGGGGGCAAGCGUUGUCCGGAAUUAUUGGGCGUAAAGAGCUCGUAGGCGGCUCGGUAAGUCAGGUGUCAAAUCCUCAGGCUCAACCUGGGGCUCCACCUGAUACUGCUGUGGCUAGAGUCCGGUAGGGGAGCGUGGAAUUCCUGGUGUAGCGGUGAAAUGCGCAGAUAUCAGGAGGAACACCGGUGGCGAAGGCGGGUCUCUGGGCCGAUAUUGACGCUGAGGAGCGAAAGCGUGGGGAGCGAACAGG
rnacentral:rRNA from 1 species